rnacentral:rRNA from 1 species
GACAGAGGGUGCAAGCGUUGUUCGGAAUUACUGGGCGUAAAGGGCGCGUAGGCGGUCUGUUAAGUUCGGUGUGAAAUCCCCUGGCUCAACUGGGGAACUGCGCUGGAAACUGGCAGACUCGAGUACCGGAGAGGAGAGUGGAAUUCCUGGUGUAGCGGUGAAAUGCGUAGAUAUCAGGAGGAACACCGGUGGCGAAGGCGGCUCUCUGGACGGAUACUGACGCUGAGGCGCGAAAGCGUGGGGAGCAAACAGG